UACUUACGAAUCGCUACUGCCGGUUGGUGGUGGAAUAGAACUCGCUGUGACUAUGGUAGGGGUGCUUCGAAAUCAUUCAGAAAAAUACCAGUUUCCCGACGGAUCACAUUGAUCGUGACGCUUUAUAGAUUUUUUCACUUCCUUAGACAUUAUUUUUUAAAUCGGAAGCAAAUUGGACUCCUCGAAUGAUACAUGGCUUCCGAGUCACACGUAGAAUUUAAAGGUGUGAGGAAUGUUAUGUAAAAGCAUUCAUUGAAGAUAAAUAGACCAGGAAUCUUACCGGGUUUGGUGUCACGUGAGCCUGAGUGUCGAAAACAUUCGUAGAUUGAAUUACCGACUGAAGUGCAAACGUUACGAAUGCACCAAAAGAUGGUGAUGGGUACUAGUAACCUACAGCGACUCACUGUCGUACCGACCACCGUCUUCUGUGCUAACGCCAUCGACAACUACCUAGUUUGUAGGAGUUUUCUUUUCCUCUAGCAGAUACUGUUACAAUUAACAAUUACUUAACAUACAGUUCCCAGUGAGAAAACUGGCUAGUGUAUUACCUAAAAAACAAAACAAGAACGGUGAAAUUACACGUGAAAAACGUCAAUUGUUAUUUGUUAUACCAUAUCUUUCUCGAGGUGCAAGGACAAAAGUAGUCGCCAAAUUUGCACGUAGGUGAACCGUGAAUGCAGAUGCACAGAUUAGACCUAUGAACUAUACACAUACAAAAUAAGAGGAAAACGAAGACCAGAUGCAUCAUAUUCAAGACACGAAUUCCUUGCUCCUUUCACCUGGCCAACGAGUUCCCUUUUCUCAUAAACGAAAAUUAUAUCGGCCGCGAAGUUAAUUGGCCGGCAAAAAUGAAGCUCUUCAUUAUGAAAAUAGAGGGUGGUCUAGUCAUUGAAGGAUGGAACUACUUUUCUCCUCUAAAUAGUAAUUAAUUGUCAGAUUUCUUCGUACGUUAUUAAUAACCUUGUAACGAGUUUCCUGCUUAAUCUUAUGCUUACCGUGGUAACAGACCAUCAAUUGUUGUACUGUACGAAGUUGUACCGUCUAUGGAUGUAAAACUUGUUUUAUAACCGUCCGUGGAAUUUCACGAAGAAGCUUCUACUAUAUCUAAUAAUGAGGAUUACAAACGCAAUAAUUAAUGGAUGUGAACUUUUUUUUUAUCUUUGCAACGACGUCGUAUCCCAAGUAAUACUGUGCUUUGCAGCAUACAUAUGUAGAUGGGUAUGAAAAUAAUAUAUCCAUUACUGUACUAUGGUGUUUCGUAUGACUUUUAUCUACCAUACCUACUGACGGCAACGCAAAAUUCAAGAACAAGGGUCACGUAGCACUCCUCUACGAAGAAGUACCUAUAUACCAUUCUGAGAAACAGAAGGUGCAGCAGCGUAGUAGAUGGCUCAAAUGCUGGAAAGGGAAAACUUCGGUCCUUUGUGCUGUAAUACGAUGAAAAGAAGUUGUCGAGAAAAUGGCGGAAUGGCUAAGAUUGAGGUAGACGAGGAGAAUAGUCAGUCUAGAUGCUGAUAUUUAACCAGACGCUUCGAUUCCACGGGACGGAAACAUUGCCAAGCUCUUUUUAAUGGACGAUACACGUACCAAGUCGUCCAUCUUAAUCCAAUUUAGUUACCCUUUGUGUAUUCAUGAUAUAAGCAUAGCAACGGGUACAGAACAUUUACGAUAGGGUGGCCUUUUUGAAAGUUUAGAAGGGAGUCAGCUAACUGCGACUCUACUCUUAGUACGUCGACAUAUGCCAGGAGUGGGUCUCCACGGUGGAUGUGAAUUUAAGGGUACGUGAGAAGUGUGAGUGGCAAACAGGGUUUACAGAUACCCGUAUUGCCCUACAGGGAAAUCAAGACGGGCCAUCCUGUGGCGUUACGUACCCUUCAACAAAACCACGCAUUCCAUAUCCAAGUGGUGAAGUUCGUAGUAUGUGACGUACCACCGAAUACGGCCUAACGGAAAAGCCAUGAAAAAAACACUGGGAAUUUUAUCCUGUGAAUAUUUAAGCGAUACAUUCGACUGCCUCGUGCUUUGUCAUGGCACCGUGUGAGGUCUUGUGAGACCGAAAAAUUUGGAUCAAGAUUUUCGAGGUUACGAGGGUUCUCUGCUAUGACAACGGGAAGAUGAACGGAUGCUGUGACAAGGAUGUGGAGGAGUAACGAUGUCACCUUAAGAAGAGACUUACUGCUGAACCAAACUUCGAUUAUCUUUCAGAAAAUUACCACAUGUAACACGUUCCUUGCCGCGUGGGGCGUAUACGCCAGACGCUGCCUGAUCGGAAAGUAACAAAAAAAAGUCCAGCACGGAACGUGUUAAUAAAAUAACUGCAAUUUUGAUAUGCAGCAAAUUAACUCAGCAUCUUCCUACCAACUGACGUGUCUCACAAUCAACCUCGUACAAUGUUCACUACCCUGUUUGGCUGUUGCCGCAAGCCAACUGGUUCUGGCCCCCAACACGUACAGUUCAAACUUUGAGAUUCACUUGACGAUUGUGCUUGAUGAUUAAGACGUGCUUGUGAUUAUCUCAAAAAGUAUUCUAACUGCGAUCGAGAAGUCUUUUUAUGGAGCGUUGGACAUUUUAUGCGAAUAUUCAUGGGAACCUCUCAGCGGUAACUCAUUGCUCACACGUUAAAUCGUAUAGAAGGGAGAACAGUGGGCGCCGACCUCGAGUUCAGCUACAUGUCAACAUCCUGGAACUAUUAUGCCCCUAACUUACUACAGUGUGUUGUACGAACUUUUGUAUUUGAGACGUUAACGAAUAUUCCACGUUAUUACGUCUUACGAAGGUCAGUCAUUAUGUUUCUUUUAAAAGAAGAGUGAUAAGGGUGACUAGCGGCAGAUAUUGACAGAUGUCAAAUGAAGAAAAACGUAUGGCUGGAAAUAGUUACAGAAAUCGUUUUAAUCCAGCAGAUAAUAUUGCAGCUGCACGUUAUGACGGCAACUCGGAACACGGUGUGAGUACGAAGUUUUUCCAAGGUUCAUACAGCAAUGGCUGCAAGACGGAAGAGCAAGUUUUCUCAUUUUCCUCGUGUUCAGCUGCCUUGGAUAUAUACGGCAGAUAUAUCCGUGGUAGUAUGGACGUAAAUUACGUGACGAUAGCUGGAGGGUAACCGGAAGGCUGGUUUGCGACAUGUAAAACAUAGAGGAGAGAAGAAGAAGCAUUAGAAGCGUGGCAGCUAGGAUUGACAACGAGUCUUAAUGGAAUUCUAAUACUUCAAUCUUGUUUUAUUUUAUUCUCAACUGUAUCCGUGCUUCAGGCUGUUGAUACGUAUGUAUAUGCUGCUUUAGGAAGGAAGGCAGGUCGUAAUUCGUCGUGAACGUGACACGGGGUGGAGAACGAGACAGGAAAUUUCCUGUUGUUUGAUUUAAAGGAGAAUUUAUCUUAAUAAUAAUAUGUGAGCGGUAAAGGUUGGGCAACUGGCACGCAUCCAAUAUUCUCGAGGACAAAUAAUCCCAGGUGUUUGCCAACAGCGGUUAAUCUUCCGUAACGCUAUCAAAUACACCCGACAAAUCCGCCUACGGUGCGACUAAUUUCGCUCUAAUCGACAUGAAAGUACACUUGACUUCCGGUAAUCGCAACAGCACGCCCAAGGAGAUCGACCCUCGUGAAGAGCCUAGACCAUUUUUUUUCCUGGAGCUCCUAUCCAUUCUGACCGGAAAUGUUCGGCGCCGCACCGGAAGCAUCCUAGAAAAAUUACUCCAACACCCCCAGCACUCCGGAGGGACUUGAAACGAGCGGUGAUUUCAUUCUCCUGGACUGAUUGACUGUUCGGAAUGCCCUUUUUCUUCCUUUCUUUAUUCUUUUUCUUUCGCCGGGAAACCGGAUGCUGAACGGGUGGAAAUAAUAGCGACAUUCAAAGUUUUCAGAUAUCGUUUUAUUCCUCGAGAAGGGUUCAAGAUACACGUGCAUAUGAACGAGUAAGAAUGCCUGAUGUGAUUAUUUCUUAUCAUUGUAGGUGACGUGGAGGUACGACUAAUGUUUAAUGAAAAAUAGUCAUGUUAAAUAAAUAGAGACAAGUAUA